AAGUUAUAACCACAACCAAGCAUAAACCAAAGAGUAAAUCAAACUUUUAUCCAUGUUUAUAACUCUCUUUAACCGUCAUGCAAUUACAAACCGAAUCCUCAUCAUUGUGUUGGAAGGUACCCUAAGACACAAACAAACACACAAAAACGACUCUUUUUGGGUUUUUUAAAACAAAUUUUUCAAAUUUUUAUGGGAUUUUCGGAUUUUUGACUCAACAUACAUUAAAACACACCAAAACAGCUUAAAAAGGCUUAAAAACAGCAAGAAACAACAUUUGAAAUUAUGAGUGAUAAACCCUACGAAUUUGCAUCAAAACACUUUGGUUACCCCCCCACACUUAAAUCAAACAUUGUCCUCAAGGUUUCAAGCAUAGACUCACACAAAUAACAAACAAACAAACAAAACAACCUCUAAACAACCUAACAUA
rnacentral:lncRNA from 1 species